GGGCUGGGUCUAUAUUAGUCAGAAUAUGACUAGACUAGUUUUUUUGGUGUGCUGCGUUUCAAAAGAUAGAAUGUCUAUAUUGGGUUUACUGUUGACUAGAUGUACAGUUUCAGAAGACAGCAUGACUAAACUGGGUUAAUUGUUGGCAGGGUUUUUUAGUUUCAGAAGAUGGUAUGUCUAUAUUGGGUUUAUUGUAGGCUGGG